rnacentral:rRNA from 1 species
UACGUAGGGUGCAAGCGUUGUCCGGAAUUAUUGGGCGUAAAGAGCUUGUAGGCGGUUUGUCGCGUCUGCUGUGAAAUUUCGGGGCUCAACCCCGAACUUGCAGUGGGUACGGGCAGACUAGAGUGUGGUAGGGGAGACUGGAAUUCCUGGUGUAGCGGUGAAAUGCGCAGAUAUCAGGAGGAACACCGAUUGCGAAGGCAGCUCGCUGGGACGUCACUGACGCUGAGACGCGAAAGCGUGGGGAGCAAACAGG